rnacentral:rRNA from 1 species
CACUCUAGCGAGAACUGGCCGGUAAUAAACCCGGAGGAAGUGGGAUGACGUCAAAUCAUCAUGCCCCUUAUGACCUGGGCUACACACGUGCUACAAUGGUUGGUACAACGAGUUGCGAGUCGGUGACGGCGAGCUAAUCUCUUAAAGCCAAUCUCAGUUCGGAUUGUAGGCUGCAACUCGCCUACAUGAAGUCGGAAUCGCUAGUAAUCGCGGAUCAGCACGCCGCGGUGAAUACGUUCCCGGGCCUU